rnacentral:pre_miRNA from 1 species
UGAUAUUGGCCUGGUUCACUCAGAUCUUCGUGAACACCACGCACGUACAUUCUAUAGAUUAUCUGAUUGAGCCGCGCCAAUAUCU